CAGUGAUCCGCCGCCCCGGCCACUAGAUUAAGUUUCUUUUUCUUUUGACAACUUCUACUCCGAGCUAAGACUGCGGCAAACUCAUGACGAGGAAUAGAAAUAAACAACAUCUCACCGAGGUGAUAGAAGACGAUCGUCAAUGGCGUCGGUUCUACGUCACGGCGAAGCUCAGCCGACCACUGCGGUACGGGAAACGCAGCGGAGCGCUUCACCGCCAAAUUCCACUCUCGGCCUCCCACGCACGCCUCACGUCACAACGACAGAUCCAACCCACAGGACACACCCUUUCUUUUUCUCUCUCUCUAGUCGGCUAUUUCAAUGCGGCUAAUCCAGUACAGCGUAAAC
rnacentral:lncRNA from 7 species